AGGAUGAACGCUGGCGGCGUGCCUAACACAUGCAAGUCGAACGUCCUGUCUCGCAAGAGGCAGGGAGUGGCGGACGGGUGAGUACCACGUGGGUUAUCUACCGUGAGGUGAGGAAUACCGGCGAGAAAUCGCCGACAAGACCGCAUAGCCUCGGUGCAAGCCGAGGAAAGCUUUCUCGAGAGAGGGAGCGCCACACGAGGAGCCUGCGCCCGAUUAGCUAGCUGGUGGAGUAACGGUUCACCAGGGCGACGAUCGGUAGCUGGUCUGAGAGGACGAUCAGCCACACUGGGAUUGAGAACGGCCCAGACUCCUACGGGGGGCAGCAGUGAGGAAUUUUCGUCAAUGGGGGCAACCCUGAACGAGCAACGCCGCGUGCAGGAGAAGGUUUUCGGAUCGUAAACUGCUUUUCUCGGGGAAGAGAACGGACGGUACCCGAGGAAUCAGCCCCGGCUAACUACGUGCCAGCAGCCGC
rnacentral:rRNA from 1 species